AUUGAACGCUGGCGGCAUGCUUUACACAUGCAAGUCGAACGGUAACAGGCCGCAAGGUGCUGACGAGUGGCGAACGGGUGAGUAGUACAUCGGAACGCGCCCGAGAGUGGGGGAUAACGAGGCGAAAGCUUUGCUAAUACCGCAUACGAUCUCAGGAUGAAAGCAGGGGACCGCAAGGCCUUGCGCUCACGGAGCGGCCGAUGGCAGAUCAGGUAGUUGGGAGGAUAAAAGCUUACCAAGCCGACGAUCUGUAGCUGGUCUGAGAGGACGACCAGCCACACUGGGACUGAGACACGGCCCAGACUCCUACGUGAGGCAGCAGUAGGGAAUGUUGGACAAUGGGCGCAAGCCUGAUCCAGCCAUGCCGCGUGCAGGAUGAAGGCCUUCGGGUUGUAAACUGCUUUUGUACGGAACGAAAAGACUCUGGUUAAUACCUGGGGUCCAUGACGGUACCGUAAGAAUAAGCACCGGCUAACUACGUGCCAGCCGCCGCAGUAAGAC
rnacentral:rRNA from 1 species